rnacentral:lncRNA from 1 species
UGCUUACUCUUCCGGUGAUGAAGACAAGUGUGUUCCUGAAGAGGUUACUGAAUCCGGAGCUGCUUUUAGGGAGUUGCAGAUGGUGCAGGCCUCCCUCCCUCCUCAAGGAAGCCCAGGACACCAUCACAAUCAGGCAGCCAGGAGCCAGGGCUUCCAAAGGCCCAACUGUGCACUUGUAGGGGUAAGGAAUCUGGUAAAAGUAUGCUGGAGUCGUUCUUGGAUAUCUGCUCAGUAUCUUCUCAGUAUCUUGACCAUCUGUGAUAAUUUUAAUCCUCAUUUGAUCAUAUUUUAUG